GCAUACAUGACCCGCAUAUCGACCAAGCACAGGAAAUUAGGAACUACAUUGAGCAUGUUGUGACCGUUAUUGGCGAGUCAUCACCGCUACACACUAAGUUAGCAGGCCAAAAUCCAGCACAACCAACCAAAAGUGUUGAUGUCUGUCCUCAACAAGGCGACGACUCAGUGGACUGCGGACCUGCAGUAUGUUACAUCAUGCGGGCGCACGUAUAUCAUGAAGAAAUUGUGGGCAGCCUCAGUAGUGCAGAAUGGUGUGGACUACGAGAUUUGUUAGUGCAUAGUUUUUUGAAUCAUAAGAAAUCAGAGCUUCCUUAAAACCUAUAGGUGGGGGGUGUCCACCUACGAACUAACCAACAGUCGAUUUGAAUGUUAAUAUGGAAAGCAUUGAUAUUUUGACACAGCAACUGAUUGUAAAACAGUGAUACAACAUCUGUUAAUAGGAAAAA